UACAGAGGGUGCGAGCGUUGUUCGGAAUUACUGGGCGUAAAGCGCGCGCAGGCGGCCUUUUAAGUCUGACGGUGAAAUGCCGGGGCUCAACCCCGUGCCCGCCGGAGAUACUGGGAGGCUGGAGACGAGUAGAGGCAAGCGGAAUUCCGGGUGUAGCGGUGGAAUGCGUAGAGAUCCGGAAGAACACCGGAGGCGAAGGCGGCUUGCUGGGCUCGGUCUGACGCUGAGGAGCGAAAGCGUGGGGAGCAAACAGG
rnacentral:rRNA from 1 species